rnacentral:tRNA from 1 species
GGGGAUUUAGCUCAGUGGUAGAGCGCUUGCCUAGCAAGCGCAAGGCCCUGGGUUCGAUGCCCAGCUCCG